UACAGAGGGGCAAGCGUUGUUCGGAGUUACUGGGCGUAAAGGGUGUGUAGGCGGUUGGAUAAGUGUGGUGUGAAAUCUCCCGGCUCAACUGGGAGGGUGCGCUACAAACUGUCUGACUCGAGUGUGGGAUGGGUAAGUGGAAUUCCUGGUGUAGCGGUGAAAUGCGUAGAUAUCAGGAGGAACACCGGUGGCGAAGGCGGGACUCUGGGCCGAUACUGACGCUGAGGAGCGAAAGCGUGGGGAGCAAACAGG
rnacentral:rRNA from 1 species